CGCGAUUCGCCCUUCGGGGUGCAGCAGGCGCGAAACCUUUGCAAUACACGAAAGUGUGACAGGGCUAUCCCGAGUGCCAUCCGCUGGGGAAGGCUUUUACCCAGUCUAGAACGCUGGGGGAAUAAGGAGAGGGCAAGUCUGGUGUCAGCCGCCGCGGUAAUACCAGCUCUCCGAGUGGUGUGGAUGUUUAUUGGGCCUAAAGCAUCCGUAGCUGGCUAGGUAAGUCCCUUGUUAAAUCCACCGAAUUAAUCGUUGGAUCGCGGGGGAUACUGCUUGGCUAGGGGACGAGAGAGGCAGACGGUAUUUUCGGGGUAGGGGUGAAAUCCUAUAAUCCCGGGAAGACCACCAGUGGCGAAGGCUGUCUGCUAGAACGCGCCCGACGGUGAGGGAUGAAAGCUGGGGGAGCGAACCGGAUUAGAUACCCGGGUAGUCCCAGCUGUAAACGAUGCAGACUAGGUGUUUGGACGGCCACGUGCCGUUCUAGUGCCGCAGGGAAGCUGUUAAGUCUGCCGCCUGGGGAGUACGAUCGCAAGAUUGAAACUUAAAGGAAUUGGCGGGGGAGCAC
rnacentral:rRNA from 1 species